UCUAAUCUUUCUCUCUCAUCUUCUGCCUUUCUCUUCCUCUCAUCUUCACAAAAGAAAACCCAAACUCACAAAAACCUCAUCUGCCACCACCGAAUCUCUUUUUCGCUCACUCUCUAUGUAAAUAAACUUAUGGAAGUUGUAGAUUUCAAACCCUAGAUAUCAAAACAAAAGUAAACACCCCUAAAUCUCAAUGUUAAGAUGAGAAAAAACUAACCCUAGAUUUCAAUGUUGAGAGAGGUAAGGAAAUGGAGGCGCAGUUUCUCAGAGAAUUAGAGAAGAGAGAUGAAAAAAAUUAUGCAGGUAUUGAUAGUGAAAAUGGAUUCGUGGGUUUGGAUCUGUUUCUAUUAGAAAGAAAUGAUGAAGAACAAGUGCUGCUACUGCCAUGGUUGAAUCUGUGGUUGAAUCUGGUGAUAUAGAAGUGGAAUUGUGAAGAGAAACACAGGAAUUUUGGGGAGUAGAUGAAUGUUAGGACAGGGGUUUUCGAACUGGGUUGGAUGGUGUUAAGAUUGAGCCGCAGUUCAAAUUGGUUUUGAUGUUGAUUGUCAUGGGUUAGUCAGUUGCAGGAGAUUGGUGGUAGUGAAUCAAAUGCUAAAUAAUAAUAAAAUCAUUCAGAGAAGUAAAAGAAAAUGAAAGAUAUGGAUUUUGGUAUUGGACAGCAGAUGCCGGUGGAAGAAGAAGAAACAGAAGCAACAACAGAAAUUACAGAACAGAGUGAAAGUGGAUUUAGAGAUAGAUAAGAGGAUUUGGUCGAUAAAUUGAAGAAGAAAUCUUUUGAAGAAGAUUGGAAAUGGUGGAAUUAGUAGUAUGGAGAACGAAUAUAUUUACAGACAUCAUACACACGAUGGAAUGAGAGAUAAUCGGUGUAGUUCAGCUCUUGUUAAACAUAUCAAAGAUCCUCUUCAUCUCGGGAUAGGGUACGAUGCCGACUCGCAGUCCACCAUCGAAACUCAAACGAGGAAAAUUGGAAGGGUUUUACAAGCCUAUACCUAAAGAAGCUCAGAAAGAGUUGCUGGGAACUCUGCAGUUGUCACUGAAUAUGCAUGCAGUUGUCACUGAAUAUGCAUGCAGUUGUCACUGAAUAGCAACUUACUGGGCUCCCAUAUUACUUCACAAAAGCACAGAUUAGAGAGUUGCUUGAAUCUUUUGGUCCCCUUCGUUGUUUCGAUCUGGUGAAGGACAGGGAAACAAGGAACUCUAAAGGAUACGCCUUCUACGUUUACUAGGAUCUCUCAGUUACAGAUAUUGCUUGUGCUUCUCUAAAUGGGUGAUAAAACUCUUACUAUUAGACGAGCGAACCUGGGCACCGCUCAGCUAAAACCUGAGCAGGAAACGUCUUAAUACAGGCACAACUACAGGUCGCGUGGCAGAGGCAAUUGUUCCAAACCGGAGGUAGUCUAGGUGGUGGUAAUGGAGGUGGCAUUGCUACCAAGGUCGUAUGCCUGACAGAGGUGGUUACUGCAGAUGAGCUUAAAGAUGAUGAAGAGUAUGAAGAUAUUUUGGAAGAUAUGAGGGUAGAAGGUGGAAAAUUUGGUACAUUGAUGAAUAUUGUCAUCCCCCGUCCACAACCUAACGGUGAACCCUAUCUAAGACUUGGAAAGGUUAGUUUCAGUGUAAGGCUUUCGUUGAGAACUACGACACUUCAUGUCUAAGCCAGUGCCUCUACGGUAUCAUCUACCACUAUGUUUAUCAUAAUCGGUGUUAGGUUUACCAAGAAGAGAGUGUGCAGCAAAAACGGAUCAUUUCCAUUUAGCAAUGUAACCCAGACUACCAUACUGGAACGUGUAUGCUACUGUCAUAUUUGUAGGGAAGGCCAAUAUCUGUGUUUUACGAUUUAUAUGAUAUUUUUAGUCAUGUUCAAAGAAUCUAUCAUUUUAUUUUCUUUCGUUGCGCAACACACUUUCAUACAAGGUGAUUUGAAGUUAGCUAGGUAAUGCAAUUGGAGUGGUAGGUUAACUUGAAUGAAUGUAAAUGUGCUACACUGGCAUGUUAAUGUGAAUGUGAAAUACUUUCGGCAAUUCAUGCAAUUCGGUUUCAGCUAUAA